UUAAUUGAAACCAAUUUUUGAGGUUAGUUACUGUUAAUAACUUAAAAGAAAUUAAAUUUAAUUUCCAA
rnacentral:tRNA from 1 species